rnacentral:rRNA from 1 species
AUUGAACGCUGGCGGCAGGCUUAACACAUGAAAGUCGAACGAGUGGCGGACGGGUGAGUAAUGCUUGGGAAUCUAGCUUAUGGAGGGGGAUAACUAAGGGAAACUGUAGCUAAUACCGCGUACCCUAGGAUGAGCCCCAGGGGGAUUAGGUAGUUGGUGAGGUAACGGCUCACCAAGCCGACGAUACCUAGCUGGUCUGAGAGGAUGACCAGCCAAACUGGUACUGAGACACGGCCCAUACUCCGACGGGAGGCAGCAGGGGUGAAUAUUGCACAAUGGGCGCAAGCAUUAUGCAUCCAUGCCGCGUGUAUGAAGAAGGCCUUCGGGUUGUAAAGUACUUUCAGUCGGGAGGCGUUACCGACAGAAGAAGCACCGGCUAACUCCGGGCCAGCAGCCGCGGUAAUUC